UCAAGUGUGACGCGGAACCGAAACCCGAUACAUCCAGGCGUACAGCCCUCCGCCUCGUGAAGGCAAAGCACGCGCAAAGCCACCACAGCGUCUUCAUCUUCGUCUCCAGUCCAAGCAAGCGAAGAGCACCCCUCGAGAUCUCUCCCUCCCCGCGCCGCCAUGGACGCAGUUGACUCGGUAGUCGACCCGCUCCGGGAGUUCGCCAAGGACAGCAUCCGCCUCGUCAAGCGCUGCCACAAGCCGGACCGCAAGGAGUUCACCAAGGUCGCCGCGCGGACUGCGAUCGGCUUCGUCGUCAUGGGAUUCGUCGGCUUCUUUGUCAAGCUCAUCUUCAUCCCUAUCAACAACAUCAUCGUCGGCUCCGGCUGAUCCGUAAACCUCAGGUAUACUUUCCAAUCACGUUAUACCCCUGCUCUGGCUUCCACUGGAUGUGUGUAAUUCGGUAGAUCUCUUGUAUCGAGCCACAUGCUUAGGACAAUUCGUUACUGUUACAUCUUUUUGUGUAAAUUGUUCUGCCGAGUUUGGUUUGUGUGGUAAUUUAGAUUUGGUGAUUGGAGAUUCGCUGAAUGAGAAUUCAGCAUAGGUGUUUAUCUGCUGUCUUUAAUGGUAUACUGACUAUUAGUAGUGCUUGUGAGAUCCAAUAUCCUCUAGGAUUCUCAUACUACUAUAAUGGAUGAUCAGAUUUUUUUUAUUUGUUCUAGACUCUAGUAGCUUGGUUUGGAAGCCAAUUAUCUGUUUUUACGGGGUAUUCCCUUGAAACUGUGGCAUUAAUGAAUUCAUGCAUCUAUAUGGAGACAAUUGCAUAUUUAGGACUCUAAACAAUGCGCUUCACAAUAAUGCCAUCCGAAAGAUUUAAUUCGUAAAAAAGGUACUACAAACCUUCUCUAAUUGAUUAUACUACCAUUCAACGUAUAUUCUUCCUUUUUAUAAUCUGAUCUCAUGUAUUUUCUCUGCAACAAGACAGUUUUACCCCUUAUAAAUCUCUCCUCUGGCCAACGUCCCAGCAACGAGUGAGCAUCCACCCGACUUAGAUUAGCAGAUUCGUUUCCUCUGGUUCCUUCAUGAACUCAUGCUGAAAUGGAUUGCUAAUUAAUGCUAUUGUGGGUUGUUCAUUACUGAUUGAUGAGUACUAUACAUUACCUGACAUGCCGUCACGACACAAAUUUCCUUGCUUUACUCAAUUACUCAGUGUACAAUUGGUGCAUCAAAAUUCAAAAUGGACUUGCUGCUGUGAUUUAUUCAUGCUUGGAUCGAUUCAGGUGGCAUAAGUACUAACUUUUUUAGCAGUUCAAUGGGCACAUCCAUUCCAUGCAACUGGCAACCCUUUUUAUUUUCCUUCGUCAUCAUGUGCUAAUCCAUAAGAAAGCAUUGCAGAUCAUGCUUUAUUUCUCUGGAGUAAUUAGCUUUUUUUAGGAAUGGUAAUUAACCGUUUUAAAGAGAAAUACUUCUUUGUUUAUACCCUGCCCACUGCCCGUCGCGGCGCGGUGGCGUCCCCGCCCCCUGCCCGGCGCGGUGCGGUGGCGGCUCUACCCGGUGUGGCGCGGUGGCCGUCGCGUGAACAGCCGUGGAGGAGAGAGGCGUGGUGGCGGCCCUGUCCGGCUCGGCGAGAGAACGCGAAAUCUCAGAGGAAGAUAGAUCUCGAGGAAGAUAGAGACAACCGAGGGAGAGGCUAGUGGCUGCAGGAGUGGACAAUGGCGUCACUACCUUGGAGGCAGCACCGUUUUCAGCUCUGAUUUCCGCAAAGCAAUUCCUUUAGGACUUGUGUUGUUAAAGGGCAACUCCCUUAUCUUUUCCUCUCUUGAGGUCGUGUGGUAGAUCUGGAACUCUUUUGUACCUGGUGUCGAAUAGUCUUUUGUGGAUCAGCGGGUGACAAAAUUAAAUGGUUACCGUUGUCUUGGGGAUUGCUU